UUUUGAGAAAGGAACAUCUAUUGGUUGCCUCCUGCACACAAACCCCCCAACUGACUGAACCCGCAACCUGGUUAUGUGCCCUGACUGGGAAUCGAACCUGCGAACUUUCAGUGAAUAGGGUGACUCUCAGCCAACUGAGCUACAGUGGCCAGGGAUGGGAGCUCCACUCUUUAACUAAUUUCCCAUUAGUGGACAUCUAGUUUGUUUUUUUCCAAUUUUUGCAGUAUCACUUAAUACUGUGAUCAUUGUUACUUGCAAACAUCACAUCACACUUAAUUUCCUGAGGGCCCUUAAUGUUGAUUAACAGGUUUAGGAUAAAAAUAUUUAAAAUUUUGAUACCAACAGGUUUCUCCUCCCAACGGAUCAACAGUUUACAUUUCCAACAACGUACAGUCCCAUUUUUUAUUUUAUACUCAUUGAUAUUGCAUGUUGUCAAAUCCAUAAAAUUCUUGAACAAUUCAGAAAAGAUAUUUUAAGUAUAAUAAGGCUGUGUUUUCAAGUUUUUAAAAAUGACCCACAGGAAAUACACUGGACAUUCCAUGUAUCUCCAUACAUGUGAAUGCAUGUGUGAUAUUUAUAUACAUAUAUACACAUCAUAAUCAAUACCAAAGUUUCAAUUUUCUGACAUGCAAUGCAUUCCAAUAUAUUCUAAUUAUUUUAUUUUAAAAGGUGUACAUCUUGAGUCCCUAAGUUUAAGGUUCUUUCUGUUUUUGGAAAGCUACAAAGUGAACUCUUUAAUAAGCAUAAAAUGCACACUAUUAAAAAAAAAAGUCUUUCUUAAAACGAGCUUCUCUUUUAAUAUGUUUUGCUCAAGCAGUAAUGGAAUGGAAAGAUAAUUUCUAUUCUAUAUGAUAAAAAUUACAUCUGUCAUUUCUGUGUAAGAGAUACAAUACAUCAGGCAACU